rnacentral:rRNA from 3 species
UUACCACGGUGUGGUUCAUGACUGGGGUGAAGUCGUAACAAGGUAGCCCUAGGGGAACCUGGGGCUGGAUCACCUCCUUACCUAAAGA